rnacentral:rRNA from 1 species
AGAGUUUGAUCAUGGCUCAGAUUGAACGCUGGCGGCAGGCCUAACACAUGCAAGUCGAACGGUAACAGGAAGCAGCUUGCUGCUUCGCUGACGAGUGGCGGACGGGUGAGUAAUGUCUGGGAAGCUGCCUGAUGGAGGGGGAUAACUACUGGAAACGGUGGCUAAUACCGCAUAACGUCGCAAGACCAAAGAGGGGGACCUUCGGGCCUCUUGCCAUCAGAUGUGCCCAGAUGGGAUUAGCUAGUUGGUGAGGUAACGGCUCACCAAGGCGACGAUCCCUAGCUGGUCUGAGAGGAUGACCAGCCACACUGGAACUGAGACACGGUCCAGACUCCUACGGGAGGCAGCAGUGGGGAAUAUUGCACAAUGGGCGCAAGCCUGAUGCAGCCAUGCCGCGUGUAUGAAGAAGGCCUUAGGGUUGUAAAGUACUUUCAGCGGGGAGGAAGGUGUUGUGGUUAAUAACCGCAGCAAUUGACGUUACCCGCAGAAGAAGCACCGGCUAACUCCGUGCCAGCAGCCGCGGUAAUACGGAGGGUGCAAGCGUUAAUCGGAAUUACUGGGCGUAAAGCGCACGCAGGCGGUCUGUCAAGUCGGAUGUGAAAUCCCCGGGCUCAACCUGGGAACUGCAUUCGAAACUGGCAGGCUUGAGUCUUGUAGAGGGGGGUAGAAUUCCAGGUGUAGCGGUGAAAUGCGUAGAGAUCUGGAGGAAUACCGGUGGCGAAGGCGGCCCCCUGGACAAAGACUGACGCUCAGGUGCGAAAGCGUGGGGAGCAAACAGGAUUAGAUACCCUGGUAGUCCACGCCGUAAACGAUGUCUACUUGGAGGUUGUGCCCUUGAGGCGUGGCUUCCGGAGCUAACGCGUUAAGUAGACCGCCUGGGGAGUACGGCCGCAAGGUUAAAACUCAAAUGAAUUGACGGGGGCCCGCACAAGCGGUGGAGCAUGUGGUUUAAUUCGAUGCAACGCGAAGAACCUUACCUGGUCUUGACAUCCACAGAAGAAUCCAGAGAUGGAUUGGUGCCUUCGGGAACUGUGAGACAGGUGCUGCAUGGCUGUCGUCAGCUCGUGUUGUGAAAUGUUGGGUUAAGUCCCGCAACGAGCGCAACCCUUAUCCUUUGUUGCCAGCGGUCCGGCCGGGAACUCAAAGGAGACUGCCAGUGAUAAACUGGAGGAAGGUGGGGAUGACGUCAAGUCAUCAUGGCCCUUACGACCAGGGCUACACACGUGCUACAAUGGCGCAUACAAAGAGAAGCGACCUCGCGAGAGCAAGCGGACCUCAUAAAGUGCGUCGUAGUCCGGAUUGGAGUCUGCAACUCGACUCCAUGAAGUCGGAAUCGCUAGUAAUCGUGGAUCAGAAUGCCACGGUGAAUACGUUCCCGGGCCUUGUACACACCGCCCGUCACACCAUGGGAGUGGGUUGCAAAAGAAGUAGGUAGCUUAACCUUCGGGAGGGCGCUUACCACUUUGUGAUUCAUGACUGGGGUGAAGUCGUAACAAGGUAACCGUAGGGGAACCUGCGGUUGGAUCACCU